AGUUGCGAACGGGUGAGUAACGCGUAGGUAACCUGCCUGGUAGCGGGGGAUAACUAUUGGAAACGAUAGCUAAUACCGCAUGACAACAGUUAUUGCAUGAUAGCUGUUUAAAAGGGGCAACUGCUCCACUACCAGAUGGACCUGCGUUGUAUUAGCUAGCUGGUGAGGUAACGGCUCACCAAGGCGACGAUACAUAGCCGACCUGAGAGGGUGAUCGGCCACACUGGGACUGAGACACGGCCCAGACUCCUACGGGAGGCAGCAGUAGGGAAUCUUCGGCAAUGGACGGAAGUCUGACCGAGCAACGCCGCGUGAGUGAGGAAGGUUUUCGGAUCGUAAAGCUCUGUUGUAAGAGAAGAACGAGUGUGAGAGUGGAAAGUUCACACUGUGACGGUAUCUUACCAGAAAGGGACGGCUAACUACGUGCCAGCAGCCGCGGUAAUACGUAGGUCCCGAGCGUUAUCCGGAUUUAUUGGGCGUAAAGCGAGCGCAGGCGGUUAGAUAAGUCUGAAGUUAAAGGCUGUGGCUUAACCAUAGUACGCUUUGGAAACUGUUUAACUUGAGUGCAAGAGGGGAGAGUGGAAUUCCAUGUGUAGCGGUGAAAUGCGUAGAUAUAUGGAGGAACA
rnacentral:rRNA from 1 species